GAUGAACGCUGGCGGCGUGCUUAACACAUGCAAGUCGAACGGUGAAGCAGGAGCUUGCUCUUGUGGAUCAGUGGCGAACGGGUGAGUAACACGUGAGCAACCUGCCCCUGACUCUGGGAUAAGCGCUGGAAACGGCGUCUAAUACUGGAUAUGUGAUGUGACCGCAUGGUCUGCAUCUGGAAAGAAUUUCGGUUGGGGAUGGGCUCGCGGCUUAUCAGCUUGUUGGUGAGGUAAUGGCUCACCAAGGCGUCGACGGGUAGCCGGCCUGAGAGGGUGCACGGCCACACUGGGACUGAGACACGGCCCAGACUCCUACGGGAGGCAGCAGUGGGGAAUAUUGCACAAUGGGCGGAAGCCUGAUGCAGCAACGCCGCGUGAGGGAUGACGGCCUUCGGGUUGUAAACCUCUUUUAGCAGGGAAGAAGCGAAAGUGACGGUACCUGCAGAAAAAGCACCGGCUAACUACGUGCCAGCAGCCGCCGCCG
rnacentral:rRNA from 1 species